ensembl:ribozyme RNaseP_nuc Nuclear RNase P
GCGGAGGGAAGCUCAUCGGUGGGGCCACGAGCUGAGUGCGUCUAGUCACUCCGUCCCAUGUCCCUUGGGAAGGUCUGAGACUAGGGCCAAUCAGCGGCCCUAACAGGGCCCUCCCUGAGCUUCGGGGAGGUGAGUUCCCAGAGAACGGGGCUCCGCGCGAGGGCAGACUGGGCAGGAGAUGCCACCGACCCCGCCCUUGCGGAGGGUCGUGGCGGAUGCCUCCCUAGCCGGAGCUUGGAACAGACUCACGGCCAGCGAAGUGAGUUCAAUGGCUGAGGUGAGGUACCCCGUGUGGGGGCCUCAUAACCCAAUUCAGACUACUCUCCCCCCCGU